AGUGCCUCUUACCGACUCUGGCGAAAACAGUUAUAUGCGCAUAGCAGCGCUUGUCGAUGAUCCGGAUUGAUGCCUCUCAGCCCCGGCAGCACGGGGAGGGUGUAGGAGAGGUGAAGAUGUCCGGUACAGAUGGUUAUUGCGUAGUCCGCUGUAAAGGGUAAUGUUAGUCUGUAGCGUAUGGCAGCGCUGGAGGUCUUUGGUGUUGGAUCCCUCUGUACCCCGACGGCGCGGGGAGAAGAUGAGAAAGCAGUGAAUAAAUAAUCCAGAUAGUCCCGACUUCUUGUGCAAAGGCAGUCUUGUACCAGACGCGUUUCGGGGAGCCACGUCUCCUUUUUCAAAAUUGGAUAUGCAACACAGUCUAAAGGUUAUAGAUUUAAACCCAGCCAGGCCUAUGUCUACAGAGAGUAUCAUCUCUAUGUCUGUGUCUGUGUUAAAGCUCUCAGGAGGAAAAGACGAUGGAGCAUAAAAGCAAAAACAGAACAGCCGCCUGCCUACCGAACUCCUGCUACAUCCUGACUACGCUACUGUGCCGCCUGCCCUGAC